UACAGAGGGUGCAAGCGUUAAUCGGAAUUACUGGGCGUAAAGCGCGCGUAGGUGGAUACUUAAGUCGGAUGUGAAAGCCCUGGGCUUAACCUGGGAACGGCACUCGAUACUGGGUAUCUAGAGUAUAGUAGAGGGAAGUGGAAUUUCCGGUGUAGCGGUGAAAUGCGUAGAUAUCGGAAGGAACACCAGUGGCGAAGGCGGCUUCCUGGACUAAUACUGACACUGAGGCGCGAAAGCGUGGGGAGCAAACAGG
rnacentral:rRNA from 1 species